rnacentral:rRNA from 1 species
UACAUGGGGUGCAAACGUUGCUCGGAAUUAUUGGGCGUAAAGCGCGCGUAGGCGGUUACUCAAGUCGGAUGUGAAAGCCCUCGGCUUAACUGAGGAAGUGCACCCGAAACUGAGUAGCUAGAGUACUAAAGAGGGUCGCGGAAUUCCCGGUGUAGAGGUGAAAUGCGUAGAUAUCGGGAGGAACACCAGUGGCGAAGGCGACUACCUGGCCUGUUCUUGACGCUGAGGCGCGAAAGCUAGGGGAGCAAACGGG